rnacentral:rRNA from 1 species
CGGGGGACAGGGUGACAGGUGGUGCAUGGUUGUCGUCAGCUCGUGUCGUGAGAUGUUGGGUUAAGUCCCGCAACGAGCGCAACCCUCGACCUUAGUUGCCAGCAUUCAGUUGGGCACUCUAAGAUGACUGCCGGCUAAAAGUCGGAGGAAGUGGGGAUGACGUCAAAUCAUCAUGCCCCUUAUGACCUGGGCUACACACGUGCUACAAUGGGCGGUACAAAGGGUCGCGAACCCGCAGGGGGAGCCAAUCCCAAAAAGCCGCUCUCAGUUCGGAUUGCAGGCUGCAACUCGCCUGCAUGAAGCCGGAAUCGCUAGUAAUCGCGGAUCAGCAUGCCGCGGUGAAUACGUUCCCGGGCCUU